CCGCGCUCCGAGCUCACCGAGCCUGCGGCCGGUUCAAGGAGCCACAUUAGCAGAUUAAUCCAACCCAAGGAGAAGAUUGUGGGAACCUCAAAUCUGCAGCCAACUGGUCAGAAACACAGCCAUUUACUGAAUAUUGGAGCACUUUGGAAAACAAAGCAAAACAA